AUUGAACGCUGGCGGUAUGCUUAAGACAUGCAAGUCGAACGGUAACAGGUUAAGCUGACGAGUGGCGGACGAGUGAGUAACGCGUGGGAAUCUACCUUGUAGUGGGGGAUAAGCCAGGGAAACUUGGACUAAUACCGCAUACGCCCUAAGGGGGAAAGGCGCAAGUCGCUAUAAGAUGAGCCCGCGUCUGAUUAGGUAGUUGGUGGGGUAAAGGCCUACCAAGCCGACGAUCAGUAGCUGGUCUGAGAGGAUGAUCAGCCACGUCGGGACUGAGACACGGCCCGGACUCCUACGGGAGGCAGCAGUCGGGAAUAUUGGACAAUGGGGGAAACCCUGAUCCAGCAAUACCGCGUGUGUGAAGAAGGCCUGCGGGUUGUAAAGCACUUUCGGCGGGGACGAUGAUGACGGUACCCGCAGAAGAAGCCCCGGCUAACUUCGUGCCAGCAGCCGCGGUAAGGCACGACUGU
rnacentral:rRNA from 1 species